CUACGGGGGGCAGCAGUGGGGAAUAUUGCACAAUGGGCGCAAGCCUGAUGCAGCCAUGCCGCGUGUAUGAAGAAGGCCUUCGGGUUGUAAAGUACUUUCAGCGGGGAGGAAGGGAGUAAAGUUAAUACCUUUGCUCAUUGACGUUACCCGCAGAAGAAGCACCGGCUAACUCCGUGCCAGCAGCCGCGGUAAUACGGAGGGUGCAAGCGGUAAUCGGAAUUACUGGGCGUAAAGCGCACGCAGGCGGUUUGUUAAGUCAGAUGUGAAAUCCCCGGGCUCAACCUGGGAACUGCAUCUGAUACUGGCAAGCUUGAGUCUCGUAGAGGGGGGUAGAAUUCCAGGUGUAGCGGUGAUACGCGUAGAGAUCUGGAGGAAUACCGGUGGCGAAGGCGGCCCCCUGGACGAAGACUGACGCUCAGGUGCGAAAGCGUGGGGAGCAAACAGGAUUAGAUACCCCUGUAGUC
rnacentral:rRNA from 1 species